ACCUGGGUGGCUCAGUCGGUUGAGCGUGGGACUUCAGCUCAGGUCAUGAUCUCACAGUUUGUGGGUUCGAGCCCCACAUCAGGCU
rnacentral:tRNA from 1 species